CCUACGGGAGGCAGCAGUGGGGAAUAUUGGGCAAUGGAGGAAACCCUGACCCAGCAACGCCGCGUGAAUGAUGAAGGUUUUCGGAUUGUAAAGUUCUUUUCUAAGGGACGAAGAAAGUGACGGUACCUUAGGAAUAAGCCUCGGCUAACUACGUGCCAGCAGCCGCGGUAAUACGUAGGAGGCGAGCGUUAUCCGGAAUGACUGGGCGUAAAGGGCGCGUAGGCGGUUUGGCAAGUUAGUAGUGAAACCCCAAGGCUCAACCUUGGAACUACAUUUAAAACUGUUGGACUUGAGUGCAGGAGAGGCAACCGGAAUUCCUAGUGUAGCGGUGGAAUGCGUAGAUAUUAGGAGGAACACCAGUGGCGAAGGCGGGUUGCUAGACAGUAACUGACACUGAGGCACGAAAGCGUGGGGAGCAAACAGGAUUAGAUACCCUGGUAGUC
rnacentral:rRNA from 1 species